AUUGAACGCUGGCGGCAGGCCUAACACAUGCAAGUCGAGCGGAGCUGCGGACGGGUGAGUAAUGCCUAGGAAUCUGCCUGGAAGUGGGCGAUAACUUCCGGAAACCGGCGCUAAUACCGCAUACUAUCAGAUGAGCCUAGGUAGGAUUAGCAAGUUGGUGGGGUAAAGGCCUACCAAGGCGACGAUCCGUAACUGGUCUGAGAGGAUGAUCAGUGACACUGGAACUGAUACACGGUCCAGACGCCUACGGGAGGCAGCAGUGGGGAAUAUUGGACAAUGGGCGAAAGCCUGGUCAAGCCAUGGCGCGUGUGUGGAGAAGGUCUUCGGAUUGUAAAGCACUUAAAGUUGGGAGGCGGUACCAACAGAAUAAGCACCGGCUAACUUCGUGCCAGCAGCCGCGGUAAUAC
rnacentral:rRNA from 1 species